rnacentral:rRNA from 1 species
AUACGUAGGGUGCAAGCGUUAAUCGGAAUUACUGGGCGUAAAGCGUGCGCAGGCGGUUAGGUAAGACAGGUGUGAAAUUCCCGGGCUCAACCUGGGAACUGCAUUUGUGACUGCCUGACUAGAGUGCGGCAGAGGGGAGUGGAAUUCCGCGUGUAGCAGUGAAAUGCGUAGAUAUGCGGAGGAACACCGAUGGCGAAGGCAACUCCCUGGGCCUGCACUGACGCUCAUGCACGAAAGCGUGGGGAGC